rnacentral:rRNA from 1 species
UGGCGACCGGCGCACGGGUGAGUAACACGUAUCCAACCUGCCGAUGACUCGGGGAUAGCCUUUCGAAAGAAAGAUUAAUACCCGAUGGCAUAGUUCUUCCGCAUGGUAGAACUAUUAAAGAAUUUCGGUCAUCGAUGGGGAUGCGUUCCAUUAGCUUGUUGGCGGGGUAACGGCCUACCAAGGCAUCGAUGGAUAGGGGUUCUGAGAGGAAGGUCCCCCACAUUGGAACUGAGACACGGUCCAAACUCCUACGGGAGGCAGCAG